UAUUUUAGUUCACAAUUGACGCCUACCACUUUUGGCACGGAAUGUUUUAAAAAGCCUACCACUUAACCGGUUAAUUUAUUAGAGCGAAA